AUGAACGCUGGCGGCGUGCCUAAUACCUGCAAGUCGAGCGAACAGACGAGGAGCUUGCUCCUCUGACGUUAGCGGCGGACGGGUGAGUAACACGUGGAUAACCUACCUAUAAGACUGGGAUAACUUCGGGAAACCGGAGCUAAUACCGGAUAAUAUAUUGAACCGCCUGGUUCAAUAGUGAAAGACGGUUUUGCUGUCACUUAUAGAUGGAUCCGCGCCGCAUUAGCUAGUUGGUAAGGUAACGGCUUACCAAGGCAACGAUGCGUAGCCGACCUGAGAGGGUGAUCGGCCACACUGGAACUGAGACACGGUCCAGACUCCUACGGGAGGCAGCAGUAGGGAAUCUUCCGCAAUGGGCGAAAGCCUGACGGAGCAACGCCGCGUGAGUGAUGAAGGUCUUCGGAUCGUAAAACUCUGUUAUUAGGGAAGAACAAAUGUGUAAGUAACUAUGCACAUCUUGACGGUACCUAAUCAGAAAGCCACGGCUAACUACGUG
rnacentral:rRNA from 1 species